AUCACGCCACCAAGCCGCUUUUCAUUUAUCGAAAAUCCACAAUGUAUAAAAGGACGUACUGGUGCUCUAUUCAAGCAUAACACAAUAUUUGUGCAAAUAUAAUCUUCAUUUUCACAUUAACCCUCAAAAAACCAACCAAAAACCAAAAAUGGGCGCUGAAAAAGUAACCAUGAACAUUGUCGUCGUCGGACAAGUCCAAUCUGCCAAGGCCAUCAAAUCGGUCGCCAAAGCCACCCCAGCCACCAGCCAAUUAGUUAACUGUUAAUUCAUGAUAUCCAUAUCAAUCUCAAACUAAAAAAUGCCAUAGCCCAAACAGUACAUGAUUUUAUAAUUUGUUCUUAAUUGCAAUAAUGUGUAUUGACAUCGCAAAAUAAAUCAGUCACUUCCGUCAAACAA